rnacentral:rRNA from 1 species
AUGAACGCUGGCGGCGUGCCUCACCCCUGCAAGUCGAACGGAGUCGUUUUGGAAAUCUCUUCGGAGAUGGAAUUCUCGACUUAGUGGCGGACGGGUGAGUAACGCGUGAGCAAUCUGCCUUUAAGAGGGGGAUAACAGUCGGAAACGGCUGCUAAUACCGCAUAAAGCAUUAAAUUCGCAUGUUUUUGAUGCCAAAGGAGCAAUCCGCUUUUAGAUGAGCUCGCGUCUGAUUAGCUAGUUGGCGGGGUAACGGCCCACCAAGGCGACGAUCAGUAGCCGGACUGAGAGGUUGAACGGCCACAUUGGGACUGAGACACGGCCCAGACUCCUACGGGAGGCAGCAGUGGGGAAUAUUGCGCAAUGGGGGAAACCCUGACGCAGCAACGCCGCGUGAUUGAAGAAGGCCUUCGGGUUGUAAAGAUCUUUAAUCAGGGACGAAACAAAUGACGGUACCUGAAGAAUAAGCUCCGGCUAACUACGUG